rnacentral:rRNA from 1 species
UGAGUAACACCCCCAGGUAACCUGCCUGUAAGACUGGGAUAACUAGCGGAAACGUUAGCUAAUACCGGAUAAUUUAUUUUCUCGCAUGGGGAAGUAAUGAAAGACGGAGCAAUCUGUCACUUGCAGAUGGACCUGCGGCGCAUUAGCUAGUUGGUGGGGUAACGGCUCACCAAGGCGACGAUGCGUAGCCGACCUGAGAGGGUGAACGGCCACACUGGGACUGAGACACGGCCCAGACUCCUACGGGAGGCAGCAGUAGGGAAUUUUCCGCAUUGGACGAAAGUCUGACGGAGCAACGCCGCGUGAGUGAUGAAGGUUUUCGGAUCGUAAAGCUCUGUUGCCAGGGAAGAACGUUCGGUAGAGUAACUGCUACCGGAGUGACGGUACCUGAGAAGAAAGCCCCGGCUAACUACGUGCCAGCAGCCGCGGUAAUACGUAGGGGGCAAGCGUUGUCCGGAAUUAUUGGGCGUAAAGCGCGCGCAGGCGGCUAUUUAAGUCUGAUGUUUAAUCCUAAGGCCUCAACCUUAGGUCGCAUUGGAAACUGGGUAGCUUGAGUGCAGAAGAGGAGAGUGGAAUUUCCACGUGUAGCGGUGAAAUGCGUAGAGAUGUGGAGGAACACCAGUGGCGAAGGCGACUCUCUGGGCUGUAACUGACCGCUGAGGCGCGAAAGCGUGGGGAGCAAAACAGGAUUAGAUACCCCUUGGUAGGUCCACGCCGUAAAACGAUGAAAUGCUAGGUGUUAGGGGGGUUUCUGAUACCCCUUGGGUGGCCGAAAGUUAACAACAUUAAAGCCAUU